AUUAAUUCGAUGCAACGCGUAGAACCUUACCUGGGUUUGACAUGGAUCGGGAGUGCUCAGAGAUGGGUGUGCCUCUUUUGGGGUCGGUUCACAGGUGGUGCAUGACUGUCGUCAGCUCGUGUCGUGAGAUGUUGGGUUAAGUCCCGCAACGAGCGCAACCCUUGUUCACUGUUGCCAGCACGUUAUGGUGGGGACUCAGUGGAGACCGCCGGGGUCAACUCGGAGGAAGGUGGGGAUGACGUCAAGUCAUCAUGCCCCUUAUGUCCAGGGCUUCACGCAUGCUACAAUGGCUGGUACAGAGAGUGGCGAGCCUGUGAGGGUGAGCGAAUCUCGGAAAGCCGGUCUCAGUUCGGAUUGGGGUCUGCAACUCGACCUCAUGAAGUCGGAGUCGCUAGUAAUCGCAGAUCAGCAACGCUG
rnacentral:rRNA from 1 species